AUUGGUAUGGGAUGAGCUUGCGUCCGAUUAGCUAGUUGGCGGGGCAACGGCCCACCAAGGCGACGAUCGGUAGCCGGCCUGAGAGGGUGAUCGGCCACAUUGGGACUGAGAUACGGCCCAGACUCCUACGGGAGGCAGCAGUAGGGAAUAUUGCACAAUGGGGGAAACCCUGAUGCAGCAACGCCACGUGUGGGAAGAAGCAUUUCGGUGUGUAAACCACUGUCAUGAGGGAAUAAGGCCCGCCUUCGGACGGGAUUGAAUGUACCUUGAGAGGAAGCACCGGCAAACUUCGUGCCAGCAGCCGCGGUAAUACGAGGGGUGCAAGCGUUGUUCGGAAUUACUGGGCGUAAAGGGAGCGUAGGCGGAGAUUCAAGCGGAUUGUACAAUCCCGGGGCCCAACCCCGGCUCUGCAGUCCGAACUGGAUUUCUUGGAUAGUUCAGGGGCA
rnacentral:rRNA from 1 species